rnacentral:rRNA from 1 species
UAGGGAAUCUUCCGCAAUGGACGCAAGUCUGACGGAGCAACGCCGCGUGAGUGAAGAAGGAUUUCGGUUCGUAAAACUCUGUUGUUAGAGAAGAACAGCGCAUAGAGUAACUGUUAUGCGUGUGACGGUAUCUAACCAGAAAGCCACGGCUAACUACGUGCCAGCAGCCGCGGUAAUACGUAGGUGGCAAGCGUUGUCCGGAUUUAUUGGGCGUAAAGCGAGCGCAGGCGGUCAAUUAAGUCUGAUGUGAAAGCCCCCGGCUCAACCGGGGAGGGUCAUUGGAAACUGGUUGACUUGAGUGCAGAAGAGGAGAGUGGAAUUCCAGGUGUAGUGGUGAAAUGCGUAGAUAUAUGGAGGAACACCAGUGGCGAAGGAGACUCUCUGGUCUGUAACUAACGCUGAGGCUCGAAAGCGUGGGUAGCAAACAGG